rnacentral:rRNA from 1 species
CCUACGGGAGGCAGCAGUAGGGAAUCUUCGGCAAUGGGGGGAACCCUGACCGAGCAACGCCGCGUGAGUGAAGAAGGUUUUCGGAUCGUAAAGCUCUGUUGUUAAGGAAGAACGAGUGUGAGAAUGGAAAGUUCAUACUGUGACGGUACUUAACCAGAAAGGGACGGCUAACUACGUGCCAGCAGCCGCGGUAAUACGUAGGUCCCGAGCGUUGUCCGGAUUUAUUGGGCGUAAAGCGAGCGCAGGCGGUUAGAAAAGUCUGAAGUGAAAGGCAGUGGCUCAACCAUUGUAGGCUUUGGAAACUGUUUAACUUGAGUGCAGAAGGGGAGAGUGGAAUUCCAUGUGUAGCGGUGAAAUGCGUAGAUAUAUGGAGGAACACCGGUGGCGAAAGCGGCUCUCUGGUCUGUAACUGACGCUGAGGCUCGAAAGCGUGGGGAGCGAACAGGAUUAGAUACCCCAGUAGUC